rnacentral:misc_RNA from 1 species
GUCAUUUUAGGUCUCAAUUUAACUCUGUCAAACAUGCAAGCGUAAACAUCAAGGCCUUGCGGCCCUGUGCUAAUGUGUGUGUUAGUUGCAGUGGGGAUUGAGGAUUGAAGACUAGAGACUAGAGACCCCCACUGAGAAUCCAAUCCUCACUGGGAACCUCCCAACCUCCAGCUCCCAACCUCCACCCCCCACCACAAACUAACCCAACCGAUUUGUAAUGAUCCUUCCGCAGGUUCACCUACGGAAA